UAGCGUAUAUUAAAGUUGUUGCAGUUAAAAUGAUGCAAUUAAAGCUCGUAGUUGAUUUGUGGCUUAGCAAGUCUUCCUAGCACUUGUUGUUAGUGAGGUAUUUGGUAUCCAUCCUUGGGUGGAAUUUGUGUGGCAUUAGGUUGUCGUGCAGGGGACACCCAUCCUUUACUGUGAAAAAAUUAGAGUGUUCAAAGCAGGCUUAUGCCGUUGAAUAUAUUAGCAUGGAAUAAUGAGAUAGGACCUUGGUACUAUUUUGUUGGUUUGCGCACCGAGGUAAUGAUUAAUAGGGACAGUUGGGGGUAUUCGUAUUCCAUUGUCAGAGGUGAAAUUCUUGGAUUUUUGGAAGACGAACUACUGCGAAAGCAUUUACCAAGGAUGUUUUCAUUAAUCAAGAACGAAAGUUAGGGGAUCGAAAAUGAUUAGAUACC
rnacentral:rRNA from 1 species